rnacentral:rRNA from 1 species
GAGUUUUGAUCAUGGCUCAGGAUGAACGCUAGCGGCAGGCUUAACACAUGCAAGUCGAGGGGCAGCGGGGAGUAGCAAUACUCCGCCGGCGACCGGCGCACGGGUGCGUAACGCGUAUGCAACCUACCUUUAACAGGGGCAUAACACUGAGAAAUUGGUACUAAUUCCCCAUAACAUUCGAGAAGGCAUCUUCUUGGGUUAAAAACUCCGGUGGUUAAAGAUGGGGCAUGCGUUGUAUUAGCUAGUUGGUGAGGUAACGGCUCACCAAGGCAACGAUACAUAGGGGGACUGAGAGGUUAACCCCCCCACAUUGGUACUGAGACACGGACCAAACUCCUACGGGAGGCAGCA